UACGAAGGGGGCUAGCGUUGUUCGGAAUUACUGGGCGUAAAGCGCACGUAGGCGGAUAUUUAAGUCAGGGGUGAAAUCCCAGAGCUCAACUCUGGAACUGCCUUUGAUACUGGGUAUCUUGAGUAUGGAAGAGGUAAGUGGAAUUGCGAGUGUAGAGGUGAAAUUCGUAGAUAUUCGCAGGAACACCAGUGGUGAAGGCGGCUUACUGGUCCAUAACUGACGCUGAGGUGCGAAAGCGUGGGGAGCAAACAGG
rnacentral:rRNA from 1 species